CCUACGGGAGGCAGCAGUAGGGAAUAUUGCUCAAUGGGGGAAACCCUGAAGCAGCAACGCCGCGGGGAGGAUGAAGGUUUUCGGAUUGUAAACUCCUUUUGUUAGAGAAGAUAAUGACGGUAUCUAACGAAUAAGCACCGGCUAACUCCGUGCCAGCAGCCGCGGUAAUACGGAGGGUGCAAGCGUUACUCGGAAUCACUGGGCGUAAAGAGGGCGUAGGCGGGAUAGCAAGUCAGAUGUGAAAUCCUAUGGCUUAACCAUAGAACUGCAUUUGAAACUGUUAUUCUAGAGUAUGGGAGAGGUAGGUGGAAUUCUUGGUGUAGGGGUAAAAUCCGUAGAGAUCAAGAGGAAUACUCAUUGCGAAGGCGACCUGCUAGAACAUAACUGACGCUGAUGCGCGAAAGCGUGGGGAGCAAACAGGAUUAGAUACCCCUGUAGUC
rnacentral:rRNA from 1 species